rnacentral:tRNA from 1 species
UUGUAGCUCAGGUGGUUAGAGCGCACCCCUGAUAAGGGUGAGGUCGGUGGUUCAAAUCCACUCAG